rnacentral:miRNA from 1 species
UAAUAACGGAAAACAUUACAG